rnacentral:rRNA from 1 species
GAUGAACGCUAGCGGGAGGCCUAACACAUGCAAGCCGAGCGGGAUUUGUUGGUUAGCUUGCUAACUAACAAUGAGAGCGGCGUACGGGUGCGUAGCACGUGUGCAACCUGCCUUUAUCUGGGGGAUAGCCUUUCGAAAGGAAGAUUAAUACCCCAUAACAUAUUGAUUGGCAUCAGUUAAUAUUGAAAGCUCCGGCGGAUAGAGAUGGGCACGCGUAAGAUUAGCUAGUUGGUGAGGUAACGGCUCACCAAGGCUGCGAUCUUUAGGGGGCCUGAGAGGGUGAUCCCCCACACUGGUACUGAGACACGGACCAGACUCCUACGGGAGGCAGCAGUGAGGAAUAUUGGACAAUGGGUGAGAGCCUGAUCCAGCCAUCCCGCGUGAAGGACUAAGGACCUAUGGUUUGUAAACUUCUUUUAUACAGGGAUAAACCUACUCUCGUGAGGGUAGCUGAAGGUACUGUAGGAAUAAGCACCGGCUAACUCCGU